UCCCUGGUGGCUCAGACAGUAAAGAAUCUGCCUGUAAUGCAGGAGACCUAGCUUUGAUCCCUGGCUUGGGAA
rnacentral:tRNA from 1 species